GAUGAACGCUGGCGGCGUGCCAUAUAGAUGCAAGCAGAGCGAACAGACGAGGUGCUUGUUCCUCUGACGUUAGCGGCGGACGGGCGAGUAACACGUGGAUAACCUACCUCUAAGACUUGGAUAACUUCGGGACAACCGCGCUAAUACCGAAUAACAUUCUGAACCGCACGAUCCAACAGUGAAAGAAGGUAUUGCUGUCUCGUAUAGAUAGAUCCGCGCCGCAUUAGCUAGUUGGCAAGGUAACGGGUUAACAAGGCAACGAUGCGUAGCCGAGGUGAGAGGGUGAUCCGCCACACUGGAACGGAGACACGGUCCAGACUCCUACGGUAGGCAGCAGUAGGGAACCUUCCGCAGUGGGCGCAAGCCUUACGGGGCAACGCCGCGGGAGUGAAGAAGGUCUUCGGAUCGUAAGACUCUGUUAUUAGGGAAGAACAAAUGUGUAAGUAACUAUGCACGUCUUGACGGUACCGAGUCAGAGAGCCACGGCUAACUACGUG
rnacentral:rRNA from 1 species